AUGCAAGUSGACGGUAAGGCCCUUCGGGGUAAACGAGUGGCGAACGGGUGAGUAACGCGUGAGUAACCUGCCCUUCACUCUGGGAUAACAGUUGGAAACGGCUGCUAACACCGGAUAUUCAGCUCCUGUCGCAUGGUGGGGGUUGGAAAGUUUUGGUGGUGGAGGAUGGGCUCGCGUCCUAUCAGCUUGUUGGUGGGGUGAUGGCCUACCAAGGCGUCGACGGGUAGCCGGCCUGAGAGGGCGACCGGCCACAUUGGGACUGAGAUACGGCCCAAACUCCUACGGGAGGCAGCAGUGGGGAAUAUUGCACAAUGGGCGGAAGCCUGAUGCAGCAACGCCGCGUGCGGGAUGACGGCCUUCGGGUUGUAAACCGCUUUCAGCAGGGACGAAGCGUGAGUGACGGUACCUGCAGAAGAAGCACCGGCUAACUACGUGCCAGCAGCCGCGGUGAUACGUAGGGUGCGAGCGUUGUCCGGAUUUAUUGGGCGUAAAGAGCUUGUAGGCGGUUGGUUGCGUCGAAAGUGCAAACUCAGGGCUUAACUCUGAGCCUGCUUUCGAUACGGGCUGACUGGAGGAAGGUAGGGGAGAAUGGAAUUCCCGGUGGAGCGGUGGAAUGCGCAGAUAUCGGGAGGAACACCAGUGGCGAAGGCGGUUCUCUGGACCUUUCCUGACGCUGAGAAGCGAAAGCGUGGGGAGCAAACAGGCUUAGAUACCCUGGUAGUCCACGCUGUAAACGGUGGGCACUAGGUGUGGGACCCAUUCCACGGGUUCCGUGCCGUAGCUAACGCAUUAAGUGCCCCGCCUGGGGAGUACGGCCGCAAGGCUAAAACUCAAAGGAAUUGACGGGGGCCCGCACAAGCGGCGGAGCAUGCGGAUUAAUUCGAUGCAACGCGAAGAACCUUACCUGGGUUUGACAUAUACCGGAAACAUCUGGAGACAGGUGCCCCGCAAGGUCGGUAUACAGGUGGUGCAUGGCUGUCGUCAGCUCGUGUCGUGAGAUGUUGGGUUAAGUCCCGCAACGAGCGCAACCCUCGUUCUAUGUUGCCAGCGGUUCGGCCGGGAACUCAUAGAAGACUGCCGGGGUCAGCUCGGAGGAAGGUGGGGAUGACGUCAAGUCAUCAUGCCCCUUAUGUCCAGGGCUACACACGUGUUACAAUGGCCGGUACAGAGGGCAGCUACCUGGAGACAGGAUGCGAAUCUCGAAAGCCGGUCUCAGUUCGGAUCGGAGUCUGCAACUCGACUCCGUGAAGCUGGAUUCGCUAGUAAUCGCGCAUCAGCCAUGGCGCGGUGAAUACGUUCCCGGGCCUUGUACACACCGCCCGUCAAGCCAUGGAAGUUGGGGGUACCUGAAGUCCGUAACCGUAAGGAGCGGCCUAGGUAAAACCCAGUGAC
rnacentral:rRNA from 1 species